rnacentral:lncRNA from 1 species
CACAGUCCAGGGGAGGAAACAGCCCAGGAGGGAAUUUCAGCAGAGCAUGAUGCAAGCUGCGAUAAGGGCACUGAAGAAACAGAAGCGAAUAUCAUAGACCUAGACUCUGCUUUCCUGGGACCUGAGGGGGCACAGAUCCUAAAUCAAAGGAUCUCACAAUAAAACACAGACAGUGAGAAGCGCUGUCAGGGAAGGCUUCUCUAAGGAGGUUCCACGAUUCCAGAACAUCUACGAUUGCUCGGUCUCAGGCUUUUCCUGUCCUAGGAGACAGCGGUGAUCUGUUGGGGAUGGAUCAAGGCCCCUUGGCACCCCACCCUUCUGCUGCCGGCACUAUCGACCCAUUUCACAGCAGUAGAAACUGAGGUCUGUGAGGUAAACAGGCUGCCCAAGGCAAAAGAUUUGCAAGUACCUGCACCCCUGAGCUGCGCUUGACCUGAACUCCUGGGACAACCCCACCAUUUCCUCUGCCAUCAGAGGCAACUGGGUCCUGGCCCUCUCUCACACCCAGCUGCAAUUUCCUGCCUCCAUAUGCCCUGCGCCUGGCUCGGUGCUAGUCUCAGAAAUGUUGGUUGUACCAGACAGAAUCUACAAGCCCAAAGAGCUAUGCUGUCCUUGAAUUAUCUCUCAGCAUCCUUAGCCUUCUUCCUUAUCCUCUGCCAGCCAACCAGAAGGAAACGCAACAUGGCCAUUGCAUCCCUAAGUCCUCCUCUCGCUACCAGGGCGAGAAGCAGGUGACAAGCAUAGGCAAUGUGAAGGAGGGGACAGAAGCGGGUCUGGAGCCCCAGAGCCCCAGGUUCUCAUGCCUUGGCUGUGUAACUUUGGACAUGAGUCCUCCCCUCUCUGAGUCUCGGUUUCCUCAUCUGUAGAAUGGGUACAAUCAUCACAAUGUCCACUCCUUCAGUUGAUAUGCAGAAUAGAGAGAGCAUGGGUAGAGCACUAGGCAUGGAUCAGGUCUCAGAAAAUGAGAACCAUCCCCGCUAGGUGGGGGUGGGGGUGGUGGCUGAACCCCUCUCUCCCCACCCCAGUCCUUCAAGCCCAGUUUGGCUCUUCUUGGUCAAUGGUGAGCUCCUCAUGAGACAGUAUAGUGGUUAUGAGCAUGAGCCCUGGGGUCAGCUGCCUGGCGUCAAAUCCUGCCUCUGCCACAUGUUAGCUGCCUGAUCGCAGACUUAAGUGACAGAAGCGCUCUGGGACUUAGUCUCUCCACGCAAGAAGUAGAUGUAUAAUAAUCCCCACCUCUUUGAACUGUUGUGAUGAUCAAAUGAAUUUACAAAUGUAAAGGCUAGGAUCCUGCCAGGCACACGAUGAGAGCUUAUAGAAGUGUUUGCUGCGCUUCGGGGAUUGAGGGGGAGAGGGGUCCUGGUGGCUUUUGCACAAUUUACAAGGAUCUCAGGGCCAGGGAUGGAAUAGGGGAGCUGGGGACAAAUCCUGAUCUGAACUGGGGGUGGAUUUUCAAAAGCAAGGCCACCAUACUGGGAAAAGGGCUUUUCCCCUGAAGGGCUUCACCACAUCCGGCCUCCCCGGGAGCCCAGCGUGGUGCUUGAACAUCUUUGUAAGGGGGAGCUCCAUCCUUCCGGUUGCUCAGCUCAGCCUCAAACCUUGGAGUCAUCCCUGAGGUUUGAUGUCUGCCACACUGGCUCCAGCAGUGUCCUGUCAACCCUUACAACAGAUCUAGAACAUGAAACGGUGGCCUUCCCGCUGCCUCCACACCUCCAGUGUCCACCCCUGGGCCUGGUCACCAGCAUCUUUGGCCUGGACCAUUGCUGUCACCUCCUCCCUGACUGGUCCAUUCUCCACACACAGUCAGGGGGGUUCUUUCAGAAUCUGGGUCAGAAUAUGCUGACGUGCUCAGGACCCUCUGUGGUCCCCAUCUGUCGCAGCGGAAAGCCUGGGUCUUCCUAGGACGUGCAAGGCCCUCCAAGAUCUGGCCCCCUCUCUGCCCUCACUGUCUCCCACGCUGCCCCUCGCUCACAGUGGCCCGGCCACGCCAGCUUCCCCAUCAUCCUCACAUGUGCUGGGCACAAUCCAGCCUCGGGGCCUUUGCACUUGCCGCUUUCCUCUGCCGGGAAGGCUCUUCCUCAGAUAUCCCCGUUGCUCAAGCCCUCAUCUCUUUCAAGUUUGUCCUCAAAUAUUUGCUCAGCGAGGCCUGCCCUGGCCCUGCUCCCGCAUUAGACCUGUACUUCUCUGAGACACUCCAUCUCCCUUUCCUGGUUUAUUUUUCUUCUUAGCACUCAUGCUAAGGAGACACAUCUGAAAUACAAUAUAUUCAAUCUACCUGUUAACGUGUAUUGCCGGCUGCCCCCAACUCCAAAAUGUCAGCAGGAGCAGGUUUUGGACAUAAGUGGGAGCGGCCUCUUAGCACUUGCUGAGGCCUGGACACUGUUCCAGGGACUCCAGACCCAGCAGAGCGAACCACUGGGUCCCUGACUUCUCUCGACACUUCAGCCUCAUGGAAUUGAAUCCAGCGCCGCCAGGAACCGAGCAGGAAACUUUGAACCAGUGAGGGCGUGGCUCCUCGGCCUUAGUUUCCCCAUCUGUGAAUGGGAAGGCAAUCCCUCCCUCCCAAGGCUUUUGUGAGGCUCAAUGAGCAAAUGUCUCGGAAGCAUCUGGCACCCUGUGGGCCCUCCCUUAGAGCUCUGUCCCCGCUGUCCAGCCUCCGUGCUGGCUGUCCCCCAGGGAACUGUCCUGUGAGCGUUAUUUUUAACCGUGGCUCCGGCGGGCUGGGCAGCGGCUCUGCAGGCGGAGGGAGACCACAGGGCCAGCCACAUCCCGGUUCUCCCCUGACUCCGGGAGACUGCGGCGUGGAAACAUCAGGGGAGGCCGCCCUGUGUUCAUACUCUGCCCCGUAACCCUUUAUGUGAAAUUAUGUCAUGUCACCCGAUGCUGUUUACAAACUUAGCGCUGACCUUUCUCAAGCAGGGCGCUGGGGGAAGGGGCUACAGCCCAGUCUCCCCACUGCUCCACCUCUACCAGGAAUGGUUGGUGGCCCCUCCUGUUAGCCCACAUUUCCACGGAGCAAAGUUGGGGGGCUGGCCUCUGGCCAGACUUUGCCCGUUUGUUUUAACAACUCCGAGUGCUCGCAGCUGACCAGCCCUGGGGUAUUUUUAAACCCUGGCCUGGGCCAACCUCUUUGUCACAUUCUGGUCGGGCUUGGAUUGAACACAUGCCCCAGUUCGGGUAGCUGAGGCUCGGGAGUCGUUUGACAACAAACAUUUAACCAAAUUCCAGGACCUGUGAGCCUACUGUGUGCCGGGCUCUAUAGCAGGAACAGAAGGCUCAGAGGGCCUAAGUCACAGAGCCUGUCCUCAAGGUGGCCUCAAUCCAGAGGGGACACUGUGACACAUGCUAGAAUGGAGGCUAAGACAGCAAUUACAACUCAAAUACCUACAGGGCCAGCGGGUUAUGUAAAUGAAUGAAGGGGGCCUGGUGUGUGGCGACUGGGAGGGGUGGGGCCGAGCUGAGCUGGCAAGCUCACGACCUGUCUGAAGGGGGCGGCCGCUCCUCAGCUCUGACCUCUGUCGUCACAAGGGAAUCCAGCCCAGUGUGCCCAGAGCUUCUGAAUUUCCAAGAGAAGCUGCAAAUCCAGAUUUAUGUGGAAUUUCAUGCAAAAGUCUCAUGACUUUUAAAUGCUGGCAAUAAAUUUUUUAAAAAUGUUAAAAACAUCCUGAGAGCCAAAUGAAACCCGUUUGUGGGCUGCACUCAGCACACAGAGUCAAGUUGAUGGGGCAAACAGUUUGUGCUUUCUGAUGCAAACAGAUGCAUUAUAAAAUGUUUGGCAAAUACAAGCUGAGCACCUACUAUGGGCUCCUUCUACUGUUCCAGAGCCGAAGAAGCAGCAGGAACCAAGAUGGACCAUAUCCCUGUCCUCAUCUGCGUGUAUCCAGUGAUGUGUUGGGGCUGGCUGGUACGAGCUGGCAAAUUCUGCAAGCUGGUUUCUACACAGCCAUCAUUAAAAAUUAAAUUAUUUGAUCUUACAUUUAAAUAAAUGAUAAUACAAA